GACUAAGUAGUUUAUACAAAACAUUGGCCUGUAAAGCUAAAAAAAAGUGCUUUUUUUAGUCA
rnacentral:tRNA from 1 species